rnacentral:rRNA from 1 species
GAUGAACGCUGGCGGCGUGCCUAAUACAUGCAAGUCGAGCGAAUGGAUUAAGAGCUUGCUCUUAUGAAGUUAGCGGCGGACGGGUGAGUAACACGUGGGUAACCUGCCCAUAAGACUGGGAUAACUCCGGGAAACCGGGGCUAAUACCGGAUAACAUUUUGAACCGCAUGGUUCGAAAUUGAAAGGCGGCUUCGGCUGUCACUUAUGGAUGGACCCGCGUCGCAUUAGCUAGUUGGUGAGGUAACGGCUCACCAAGGCAACGAUGCGUAGCCGAGCUGGGAGGGCGAUCGGCCACACUGGGACUGAGACACGGCCCAGACUCCUACGGGAGGCAGCAGUAGGGAAUCUUCCGCAAUGGACGAAAGUCUGACGGAGCAACGCCGCGUGAGUGAUGAAGGCUUUCGGGUCGUAAAACUCUGUUGUUAGGGAAGAACAAGUGCUAGUUGAAUAAGCUGGCACCUUGACGGUACCUAACCAGAAAGCCACGGCUAACUACGUGCCAGCCGCCGCCGUA